rnacentral:rRNA from 1 species
GAUGAACGCUGGCGGCGUGCUUAACACAUGCAAGUCGAACGAAGCACCUCUAAUUGAAGAUUGAUGAAGCUUGCUUCUGAUUGAUUCGCCUUGAGGUGACUGAGUGGCGGACGGGUGAGUAACGCGUGGGUAACCUACCCUAUACAGGGGGAUAACAGUUGGAAACAGCUGCUAAUACCGCAUAAGCGCACAGCUUCGCAUGAAGCAGUGUGAAAAACUCCGGUGGUAUAGGAUGGACCCGCGUCUGAUUAGCUAGUUGGUGGGGUAACGGCCCACCAAGCCGACGAUCAGUAGGGGUUCUGAGAGGAAGGUCCCCCACAUUGGAACUGAGACACGGUCCAAACUCC